rnacentral:rRNA from 1 species
UGGGGAAUUUUGGACAAUGAGCGAAAGCCUGAUCCAGCAAUGCCGCGUGUGUGAAGAAGGCCUUCGGGUUGUAAAGCACUUUUGUCCGGAAAGAAAUCCUUGGCUCUAAUACAGUCGGGGGAUGACGGUACCGGAAGAAUAAGCACCGGCUAACUACGUGCCAGCAGCCGCGGUAAUACGUAGGGUGCAAGCGUUAAUCGGAAUUACUGGGCGUAAAGCGUGCGCAGGCGGUUUGCUAAGACCGAUGUGAAAUCCCCGGGCUCAACCUGGGAACUGCAUUGGUGACUGGCAGGCUAGAGUAUGGCAGAGGGGGGUAGAAUUCCACGUGUAGCAGUGAAAUGCGUAGAGAUGUGGAGGAAUACCGAUGGCGAAGGCAGCCCCCUGGGCCAAUACUGACGCUCAUGCACGAAAGCGUGGGGAGCAAACAGGAUUAGAUACCCUGGUAGUCCACGCCCUAAACGAUGUCAACUAGUUGUUGGGGAUUCAUUUCCUUAGUAACGUAGCUAACGCGUGAAGUUGACCGCCUGGGGAGUACGGUCGCAAGAUUAAAACUUAAAUGAAUUGAC